AUUGAACGCUGGCGGCAUGCCUUACACAUGCAAGUCGAACGGUAACAGGUCUUCGGAUGCUGACGAGUGGCGAACGGGUGAGUAAUACAUCGGAACGUGCCCGAUCGUGGGGGAUAACGGAGCGAAAGCUUUGCUAAUACCGCAUACGAUCUACGGAUGAAAGCAGGGGACCGCAAGGCCUUGCGCGGACGGAGCGGCCGAUGGCAGAUUAGGUAGUUGGUGGGAUAAAAGCUUACCAAGCCGACGAUCUGUAGCUGGUCUGAGAGGACGACCAGCCACACUGGGACUGAGACACGGCCCAGACUCCUACGGGAGGCAGCAGUGGGGAAUUUUCGACAAAGGGCGAAAGCCUGAUCCAGCCAUGCCGCGUGCAGGAUGAAGGCCUUCGGGUUGUAAACUGCUUUUGUACGGAACGAAAAGACUCUUUCUAAUAAAGAGGGUCCAUGACGGUACCGUAAGAAUAAGCACCGGCUAACUACGUG
rnacentral:rRNA from 1 species